AAAACUUUUCAGCUAGAGUAUGAUAGAGGAAAGCAGAAUUUCUAGUGUAGAGGUGAAAUUCGUAGAUAUUAGAAAGAAUACCAAUUGCGAAGGCAGCUUUCUGGAUCAUUACUGACACUGAGGAACGAAAGCAUGGGUAGCGAAGAGGAUUAGAUACCCUCGUAGUCCAUGCCGUAAACGAUGUGUGUUAGACGUUGGAAAUUUAUUUUCAGUGUCGCAGCGAAAGCGAUAAACACACCGCCUGGGGAGUACGACCGCAAGGUUAAAACUCAAAUGAAUUGACGGGGACCCGCACAAGUAGUGGAGCAUGUGGUUUAAUUCGAAGAUACGCGCAGAACCUUACCAACACUUGACAUGUUCGUCGCGACUCUAAGAGAUUAGAGUUUUCGGUUCGGCCGGACGAAACACAGGUGCUGCAUGGCUGUCGUCAGCUCGUGUCGUGAGAUGUUGGGUUAAGUCCCGCAACGAGCGCAACCCUCACUUUUAGUUGCCAUCAUUAAGUUGGGCACUCUGAAAGAACUGCCAGUGAUAAGCUGGAGGAAGGUGGGGAUGACGUCAAGUCCUCAUGGCCCUUACGUGUUGGGCUACACACGUGCUACAAUGGUAUCUACAACAGGAAGCAAGACUGCGAGGUCAAGCAAAUCCCUAAAAGAUACCUCAGUUCGGAUUGCACUCUGCAACUCGAGUGCAUGAAGCUGGAAUUACUAGUAAUCGUGGAUCAGCGUGCCACGGUGAAUGCGUUCCCGGGUCUUGUACACACCGCCCGUCACACCAUGGGAGUUGGUUCUACCUUAAGGCAAGGUUUCAAACCCUUGACCACGGUAUAGUCAGCGACUGGGGUGAAGUCGUAACAAGGUAACCG
rnacentral:rRNA from 1 species